rnacentral:rRNA from 1 species
AGCGCAGGCGGUUUUGUAAGACAGAGGUGAAAUCCCCGGGCUCAACCUGGGAACUGCCUUUGUGACUGCAAAGCUGGAGUGCGGCAGAGGGGGAUGGAAUUCCGCGUGUAGCAGUGAAAUGCGUAGAUAUGCGGAGGAACACCGAUGGCGAAGGCAAUCCCCGUGGGCCUGCACUGACGCUCAUGCACGAAAGCUGGGAGCAAACA